GACGAACGCUGGCGGCGUGCCUAAUACAUGCAAGUCGAACGCUUCUUUUUCACCGAACUUCGGUUCAUCGAAAAAGAGGAGUGGCGAACGGGUGAGUAACACGUGGGUAACCUGCCCAUCAGAAGGGGAUAACACUUGGAAACAGGUGCUAAUACCGUAUAAUGCUUUUUCUCGCAUGAGAGCAAGCUGAAAGGCGCUUUUGCGUCACUGAUGGAUGGACCCGCGGUGCAUUAGCUAGUUGGUGAGGUAACGGCUCACCAAGGCCACGAUGCAUAGCCGACCUGAGGGGGUGAUCGGCCACACUGGGACUGAGACACGGCCCAGACUCCUACGGGAGGCAGCAGUAGGGAAUCUUCGGCAAUGGACGAAAGUCUGACCGAGCAACGCCGCGUGAGUGAAGAAGGUUUUCGGAUCGUAAAACUCUGUUGUUAGAGAAGAACAAGGAUGAGAGUAAAAUGUUCAUCCCG
rnacentral:rRNA from 1 species